CUCGGCGAUGGCCGUGGUGUUGCUCAGCAUGCAGACGGCACGCUGCACCUUGGCCAGAUCACCACCAGGCACGACGGUAGGUGGCUGGUAGUUGAUGCCCACCUUGAAGCCAGUUGGACACCAGUCGACGAACUGGAUGGUGCGCUUGGUCUUGAUGGUUGCUAUGGCAGCGUUGACAUCCUUGGGGACGACAUCACCACG